ACGAGUAGCAUGGGACACGUGAAACCCCGUGUGAAUCUGCGAGGACCACCUCGUAAGGCUAAAUAUUCCUGAAUGACCGAUAGUGAAACAGUACCGUGAGGGAAAGGUGAAAAGAACCCCGGAAGGGGAGUGAAAUAGAACAUGAAAGCUUAAGCUUACAAGCAGUGGGAGGACGACUAAACGUCUGACCUCGUACCUGUUGAAGAAUGAGCCGGCGACUUGUAGGUAGUGGCAGGUUAAGGUAGAAAAUACUGGAGCCAUAGUGAAAGCUGAUGCCUGUACCCGAAACCGACACAGGUAGGUAGGUAGAGUAUACCAAGGGGCGCGAGACAACUCUCUCUAAGGAACUCGGCAAAAUUACCUCGUAACUUCGGAAGAAGAGGUACCCCUUCACGGGGGUUGCAAUAGAUUGACCCUGGCGACUGUUUACCAAAAACACAGGUCUCCGCUAAUUCGUAAGAAAAAGUAUGGGGGCUGACGCCUGCCCAGUGCCGGAAGGUUAAAGAAGUUGGUUAGUCCUUGGACAAAGCUAGCGACUGAAGCCCCGGUGAACGGCGGCCGUAACAAUAACGGUCCUAAGGUAGCGAAAUUCCUUGUCGGGUAAGUUCCGACCCGCACGAAAGGCGUAACGAUCAGGGUACUGUCUCGGAGAGAGGCUCGGCGAAAUAGACAUGUCUGUGAAGAUGCGGACUACCUGCACCUGGACAGAAAGACCCUAUGAAGCUUUACUGUAUCUUGGAAUUGGGUUUGGUCUUUGCAUGCGCAGGAUAGGUGGGAGGCUUUGAAGAUGAUCUUGCGGGGUCGUUGGAGCCACUGGUGAGAUACCACCCUUGCAAUGAUAAAAUCCUAACUUUGAACCGUUAUCCGGUCAAAGAACAGUUUCAGGUGGGCAGUUUGACUGGGGCGGUCGCCUCCUAAAAGGUAACGGAGGCGUGCAAAGGUUCCCUCAGGCUGGUUGGACAUCAGUCGUAGAGUGUAAAGGCAUAAGGGAGCUUGACUGCGAGACCAACAAGUCGAGCAGAGACGAAAGUCGGCCUUAGUGAUCCGGCGCUUCCGAGUGGAAGGGGCGUCGCUCAACGGAUAAAAGUUACUCUAGGAUAACAGGCUGAUCUCCCCCAAGAGUUCACAUCGACGGGGAGGUUUGGCACCUCGAUGUCGGCUCAUCGCAUCCUGGGGCGGUAGUACGUCUCAAGGGUUGGGCUGUUCGCCCAUGAAAGCGGUACGCGAGCUGGGUUCAGAACGUCGUGAGACAGUUCGGUCCAUAUCCGGUGCAGGCGUUAGAGUAUUGCGAAGACUCCUCCUUAGUACGAGAGGACCGGGGGGAAUGCACCGCUGGUGUACCAGUUAUCGUGCCAACGGUAAACGCUGGGUAGCCAAGUGCAGUUUGGAUAACUGCUGAAAGCAUCUAAGUAGGAAGCCAGCUUCAAGAUGAGUACUCUCACCGCUUCAAGCGGGUAAGAUCACGGCAAGAACAGCCGUUUGAUAGGCAUCAAGUGUAAGUGCAGUAAUGUAUUCAGCUGAGAUGUACUAAUAGAUCGAGGGCUUAUU
rnacentral:rRNA from 1 species